rnacentral:rRNA from 1 species
GAUGAACGCUAGCGGAGGCUUAACACAUGCAAGUCGAGGGGCAGCAUAGGGUAGCAAUACUCUGAUGGCGACCGGCAAACGGGUGAGUAACGCGUAUGCAACCUACCCUGUACAGGGGGAUAACCCGGAGAAAUUCGGACUAAUAUCCCGUAAUAAUAUCCGGAGGCAUCUUUGGAUAUUAAAGUUCCGACGGUACGGGAUGGGCAUGCGUAACAUUAGCUGGUUGGUAAGGUAACGGCUUACCAAGGCUAUGAUGUUUAGGGGUCCUGAGAGGGUGGUCCCCCACACUGGUACUGAGACACGGACCAGACUCCUACGGGAGGCAGCAGUGAGGAAUAUUGGUCAAUGGGCGCAAGCCUGAACCAGCCAUCCCGCGUGCAGGAAGACGGCCCUAUGGGUUGUAAACUGCUUUUCCAGGGAGAGAAACUUACGCACGUGUUGCGUGACUGACGGUACCCUGGGAAUAAGCAUCGGCUAACUCCGUG